AUGGACCAUUCCAUCCCUUUUUCCCGUGCAUAUGCAUCGCUCGAUGACAAUGGUCUCGAUGAACAAGUUGAUGCGGAGGGGUUCACGGUGAAGGAGGCCGAAGCUUUCGAGAAGGUAUUUGGUCGGGAUCAUCGGACUACAUUGUUCAAGGAUGUUAGUCUCGCGGAUGAAGCCGUGGUAGAUGGUGGCCAAUGUGUACCUCUUGGGGUUAGGCCAAGCUCUCAC
rnacentral:rRNA from 1 species